UAGGGAAUCUUCGGCAAUGGACGAAAGUCUGACCGAGCAACGCCGCGUGAGUGAAGAAGGUUUUCGGAUCGUAAAACUCUGUUGUUAGAGAAGAACAAGGACGUUAGUAACUGAACGUCCCCUGACGGUAUCUAACCAGAAAGCCACGGCUAACUACGUGCCAGCAGCCGCGGUAAUACGUAGGUGGCAAGCGUUGUCCGGAUUUAUUGGGCGUAAAGCGAGCGCAGGCGGUUUCUUAAGUCUGAUGUGAAAGACCCCGGCUCAACGGGGGAGGGUCAGUGGAAACUGGGAGACUUGAGUGAAGAAGAGGAGAGGGGAAUUCCAUGUGUAGCGGUGAAAAGCGUAGAUAUAUGGAGGAACACCAGUGGCGAAGGCGGAUCACUGGUCUGUAACUGAAGCUGAGGAACGAAAGCGUGGGGAGCAAACAGG
rnacentral:rRNA from 1 species